AAUCCAUGAUGAGGGCAAUCACGUUCAUACUCCUUAAAACGUUCCCAAGCUUCAUAGAAAGAUUCAGUUGGCCCUUGUUGAAAAGUUGAGAUCUUCGUUCUCAAAUU
rfam:Eutrema salsugineum unplaced genomic scaffold scaffold_8, whole genome shotgun sequence.